rnacentral:rRNA from 1 species
CCUACGGGAGGCAGCAGUGGGGAAUCUUGGUCAAUGGGCGAAAGCCUGAACCAGCGACGCCGCGUGAGUGAUGAAGGCCUUCGGGUUGUAAAGCUCUGUGGGGAGGGACGAAAAACUGGAGUCGAAUAGGCUACCAGGUUGACGGUACCUCCUUAGCAAGCACCGGCUAACUCUGUGCCAGCAGCCGCGGUAAGACAGAGGGUGCAAACGUUGCUCGGAAUCACUGGGCGUAAAGGGCGUGUAGGCGGACUCAUAAGUCGGGCGUGAAAUCCCUGGGCUCAACCCAGGAACUGCACUCGAAACUGCGAGUCUUGAGUACCGGAGAGGAAAGUGGAAUUCCUGGUGUAGAGGUGAAAUUCGUAGAUAUCAGGAGGAACACCAGUGGCGAAGGCGGCUUUCUGGACGGUAACUGACGCUGAGACGCGAAAGCGUGGGGAGCAAACAGGAUUAGAUACCCGUGUAGUC